AGAAUCAACGCUGGCGGCGUGCCUAACACAUGCAAGUCGAACGAGAACGGGUAGCAAUACCUUAGUAAAGUGGCGCACGGGUGAGUAACACGUGACUAACCUACCCUGGAGUGGGGGGAUAACUGAGAGAAAUCUUAGCUAAUACCGCAUAACACCUACGGGUCAAAGGAGCAAUUCGCUUCAGGAGGGGUCGCGGCAGAUUAGAUAGUUGGCGGGGUAAUGGCCCACAAGUCAGUGAUCUGUA
rnacentral:rRNA from 1 species